GGUGAGUAAUGCUUGGGAACUUGCCUUUGCGAGGGGGAUAACAGUUGGAAACGACUGCUAAUACCGCAUAAUGUCUUCGGACCAAACGGGGCUUCGGCUCCGGCGCAAAGAGAGGCCCAAGUGAGAUUAGCUAGUUGGUAAGGUAACGGCUUACCAAGGCGACGAUCUCUAGCUGUUCUGAGAGGAAGAUCAGCCACACUGGGACUGAGACACGGCCCAGACUCCUACGGGAGGCAGCAGUGGGGAAUAUUGCACAAUGGGGGAAACCCUGAUGCAGCCAUGCCGCGUGUGUGAAGAAGGCCUUCGGGUUGUAAAGCACUUUCAGUUGUGAGGAAAAGUUAGUAGUUAAUACCUGCUAGCCGUGACGUUAACAACAGAAGAAGCACCGGCUAACUCCGUGCCAGCAGCCGCGGUAAUACGGAGGGUGCGAGCGUUAAUCGGAAUUACUGGGCGUAAAGCGCACGCAGGCGGUUUGUUAAGCUAGAUGUGAAAGCCCCGGG
rnacentral:rRNA from 1 species